AUGGGUUCGGAGGCCGGUAGUAAAAGUAACAUUCCCAAAUCCCAAUAUCUCAAAGCAGGUUGGAUUGAAACAAAGAUGAACACCGGCCAGUUAUUUCGUCCUCAGACGCCGCCGGUUACCAAGACCGACCGCCCAUCACCUGCUCAGAUCACAUCAAAACGCAUCUGAUGUCUUACUCAAAGUUCUCUGAUGCUAACGGUGCUGUCAGUAACGAGAACACAUCCUUGAAUGCUGCUCUGAUAAACAGUGUGAGGAAAAGAAUGGCUGGCAUGAACAAGCAUAUUGCAAAAUAUAAGAAUGCAAACACCUCCUUGGUGAAGGAAAAUGUCUACCUGAAGAACCGACAAGCUUGGAUGACAAAAUCUCAGAAGCGUCAGAAGAAAACCUUGGUCUGCUUGAAGGACAAGUACAAUGAACUGACUGACAAGGCCACAGGCCUUUCCAAUCUACUGUUGGAGUCCUAUGCUCAGCUUCAAGAAAGAAAUACGGAGCUUGAAGCAAGCAAUGCACAGCUGAGGGAAAGAAAUGCUGUGCUAGAGAAUGAAAGUAAUGCACGUGAUGAGGUGAACAAGGAAAAUGAGCAUGAACUGGAUCAGGCCAAAAUUUAAGCCUUGCUGGUGAUUUAUCAGUGAUCAUGUUGACUGGUGAGAGGAGAAUGAAGUGGUUGAUAUGAAGCAAAAUGGCUGCCUUUGAUGGGAUUAAAUAAACAUUCACUAUGUAAAGCAUACAUCUGUGACUUUAAUUAAGGUGGAUAUCUUUAAAUUGCUUUUGCACUGACAGUUUGGAAGUUUGAUUGGUAUCUUUAAAUUGGGAUUUUAAUAAGUUGUGUGUCGUUUGUUUUAAUUAAAAAGCUGCCCUGAUCAGGAGCA